rnacentral:rRNA from 1 species
UGCUUGGAUGACUUGUGGGUAGCGGAGAAAUUCCAAACGAACUUGGAGAUAGCUGGUUCUCUCCGAAAUAGCUUUAGGGCUAGCGUCGAUGUUAAGUCUCUUGGAGGUAGAGCACUGUUUGGGUGAGGGGUCCAUCUCGGAUUACCAAUCUCAGAUAAACUCCGAAUGCCAACGAGAUAUCAUCGGCAGUCAGACUGCGAGUGCUAAGAUCCGUAGUCGAAAGGGAAACAGCCCAGACCACCAGCUAAGGUCCCAAAAUAACUGUUAAGUGGAAAAGGAUGUGGGGUUGCACAGACAACUAGGAUGUUAGCUUAGAAGCAGCUAUUCAUUCAAAGAGUGCGUAAUAGCUCACUAGUCGAGUGACCCUGCGCCGAAAAUGUACCGGGGCUAAAACAGUUUACCGAAGCUGUGGAUGACACAAAAGUGUCAUGGUAGGAGAGCGUUCUAUGUGUGAAGAAGGUGUACCGUGAGGAGCGCUGGAACGCAUAGAAGUGAGAAUGCCGGUAUGAGUAGCGAAAGACAGGUGAGAAUCCUGUCCACCGUAAGACUAAGGUUUCCAGGGGAAGGCUCGUCCGCCCUGGGUUAGUCGGGACCUAAGGAGAGACCGAAAGGUGUAUCCGAUGGCCAACAGGUUGAUAUUCCUGUACUAGAGUAUAUAGUGAUGGAGGGACGCAGUAGGCUAACUAAACCGGACGAUUGGAAGAGUCCGGCUAAGCAGUGAGGUGUAAGAUGAGUCAAAUGCUUAUCUUUAUAACAUUGAGCUGUGAUGGGGAGCGAAUUUUAGUAGCGAAGUUAGUGAUGUCACACUGCCAAGAAAAGCUUCUAGCGUUUAAUGAUACUCUACCCGUACCGCAAACCGACACAGGUAGUCGAGGCGAGUAGCCUCAGGUGAUCGAGAGAACUCUCGUUAAGGAACUCGGCAAAAUGACCCCGUAACUUCGGGAGAAGGGGUGCUGACUUAGGUCAGCCGCAGUGAAUAGGCCCAAGCAACUGUUUAUCAAAAACACAGCUCUCUGCUAAAUCGUAAGAUGAUGUAUAGGGGGUGACGCCUGCCCGGUGCUGGAAGGUUAAGAGGAGGGUUUAGCGCAAGCGAAGAUCUGAAUUGAAGCCCCAGUAAACGGCGGCCGUAACUAUAACGGUCCUAAGGUAGCGAAAUUCCUUGUCGGGUAAGUUCCGACCCGCACGAAAGGCGUAAUGAUUUGGGCACUGUCUCAACGAGAGACUCGGUGAAAUUUUAGUACCUGUGAAGAUGCAGGUUACCCGCGACAGGACGGAAAGACCCCAUGGAGCUUUACUGCAGUUUGAUAUUGAGUAUCUGUACCACAUGUACAGGAUAGGUAGGAGCCAUUGACUUCGGGACGCCAGUUUCGAAUGAGGCGUUGUUGGGAUACUACCCUUGUGUUAUGGCUACUCUAACCCAGAUAGGUUAUCCCUAUCGGAGACAGUGUCUGACGGGCAGUUUGACUGGGGCGGUCGCCUCCUAAAGAGUAACGGAGGCGCCCAAAGGUUCCCUCAGAUUGGUUGGAAAUCAAUCGCAGAGUGUAAAGGUAUAAGGGAGCUUGACUGCGAGAGCUACAACUCGAGCAGGGACGAAAGUCGGGCUUAGUGAUCCGGUGGUACCGAAUGGAAGGGCCAUCGCUCAACGGAUAAAAGCUACCCUGGGGAUAACAGGCUUAUCUCCCCCAAGAGUUCACAUCGACGGGGAGGUUUGGCACCUCGAUGUCGGCUCGUCGCAUCCUGGGGCUGUAGUCGGUCCCAAGGGUUGGGCUGUUCGCCCAUUAAAGCGGCACGCGAGCUGGGUUCAGAACGUCGUGAGACAGUUCGGUCCCUAUCCGUCGCGGGCGUAGGAAAUUUGAGAGGAUCUGCUCCUAGUACGAGAGGACCAGAGUGGACUUACCGCUGGUGUACCAGUUGUCUUGCCAAAGGCAUCGCUGGGUAGCUAUGUAGGGAAGGGAUAAGCGCUGAAAGCAUCUAAGUGCGAAGCCCCCCUCAAGAUGAGAUUUCCCAUGAUUUUAUAUCAGUAAGAGCCCUGAGAGAUGAUCAGGUAGAUAGGUUAGGAGUGUAAGUGUAGCGAUACAUGUAGCGGACUAAUACUAAUAGCUCGAGGACUUAUCCAA